rnacentral:rRNA from 1 species
UAGGGAAUCUUCCACAAUGGACGCAAGUCUGAUGGAGCAACGCCGCGUGAGUGAAGAAGGUUUUCGGAUCGUAAAGCUCUGUUGUUGGUGAAGAAGGAUGUGGAUAGUAACUGAUUCAUAUUUGACGGUAAUCAACCAGAAAGUCACGGCUAACUACGUGCCAGCAGCCGCGGUAAUACGUAGGUGGCAAGCGUUGUCCGGAUUUAUUGGGCGUAAAGCGAACGCAGGCGGGAGAACAAGUCAGCUGUGAAAGCCCUCGGCUUAACCGGGGAAUGUCAACUGAAACUGUUUUUCUUGAGUGCAGAAGAGGAGAGUGGAACUCCAUGUGUAGCGGUGGAAUGCGUAGAUAUAUGGAAGAACACCAGUGGCGAAGGCGGCUCUCUGGUCUGUAACUGACGCUGAGGUUCGAAAGCAUGGGUAGCGAACAGG